rnacentral:lncRNA from 1 species
AGAGAAUUCAACAUUGAAAAACUUAGAAAAACGGCUGAGCUUUUUUUAUACUCAAAAAUUACUGAAUUUUUUUUUGGAAAUUUAUUUGGUUUUAUUCUUUGGGGUCAGUCUUUCUAAAAUCUCCAAAAACUUGUUCUAAUUUGAGUUUUAGACUGUUGAAGGAAGCUGAUUUUUUUGUUUGGAUUGCUGAGAUGAUAUGUUGCUGCUGCUGAUUCUUCAUUCUCUUUGUUUUCCUCUUGUCUUCCAGGCUUUCUUCAAAUCAUGGACAAUACAUGAGGUGUAAUCUGCAAUUUGAGUGAGGAUACAUAAUGAAGACCAUUUGUUUUACUGAACCUAGUUUCCCUACUUCUUCCAUUUCUUUCAUAUUUUGUAAUAGCCUAGUCUUAUGCAUGUUAUGUUAGCUUUGUCAUGCUAUUGAUAUGGUAUAAAAGUUUGAUUCUGUGAGAGUUUGGUGUAGUUCUUAGAUUAAAGUUAGUUGUAUGUUAAUCUUGUGGGGUUUUUGCUACUGUCCUAUAUUAGAGAAGGGUUUAGUUUGAUGUUUAAAUUCUAUAGUCCUAAGUUAGAUGAAGAAAUCUCUUUGCUAGGUUCUGUUCACAUCCAUUCAAGCUGGUAUUGAUUGUAUGGCUACAGUUAAUUAUUGUAUGGUUUUUGCUAUUUUUUAGAUGUAGGUUUGGUAUUUGAAC